CUCAACCACGGGCUUGGCGGUAAACUGGAUCUCUUGAGUGUAAGAGAGGGAAGUGGAAUUCCCGGAGUAACGGUGAAAUGCGUAGAUACCGGGAGGAACACCAGUGGCGAAGGCGGCUUCCUGGCCUACUACUGACGCUGAAGCGCGAAAGCUAGGGGAGCGAACGGGAUUAGAUACCCCGGUAGUCCUAGCCGUAAACGAUGGUCACUAGGUGUGGGUGGUGGUCAAGCCAUCCGUGCCGGAGCUAACGCAAUAAGUGACCCAUCUGAGAGUACGGCCGCAGGUUGACACUCAAUGAAAUUGACGGACU
rnacentral:rRNA from 1 species